CCUACGGGAGGCAGCAGUGAGGAAUAUUGGUCAAUGGGCGCGAGCCUGAACCAGCCAAGUCGCGUGAGGGAAGACGGUCCUAUGGAUUGUAAACCUCUUUUGUCGGGGAGCAAAAGACGCCACGCGUGGCGUUCCGAGAGUACCCGAAGAAAAAGCAUCGGCUAACUCCUUGCCAGCAGCCGCGGUAAUACGGAGGAUGCGAGCGUUAUCCGGAUUUAUUGGGGUAAAAGGGUGCGCAGGGGGAAGAUCAAGUCAGCGGGAAAAUUGAGAGGCUCAACCUCUUCGAGCCGUUGAAACUGGUUUUCUUGAGUGAGCGAGAGGUAUGCGGAAUGCGUGGUGUAGCGGUGAAAUGCAUAGAUAUCACGCAGAACUCCGAUUGCGAAGGCAGCAUACCGGCGCUCAACUGACGCUCAUGCACGAAAGUGUGGGUAUCGAACAGGAUUAGAUACCCUUGUAGUC
rnacentral:rRNA from 1 species